ensembl:lncRNA
GAGAAGCUACGGUCAAAAACUCAGUAGAAGGGUCUAAGCUGGCUAAAAAUAAAUAAAUAAAUAAAUAAAGUACUUUGAAAAAAAUAAUCUUUGAAAGAUGUAAAAUACAAACAGCUUCUAUGACCAAGCAGCGGGCACAUGACAAAGCUGCAGGCCCGUGGAGAGCUGUAACGCCAGAGAGGCGACAAUGUGCAAAGAUCCAUGCCAGGAAGCAGAGCUGGGGAGAGUAAUCCACUAACAUUCAAAGUUCAGCUUAUUUCAGGGAGAGGUGAGAGAAUAAAUGAAAGCCACUGUCAGAGCCCUGCGCGAAACUGUUGGCAGGUUUUAUUUAUUUAAGUUUGGCACGUCUUUGGGCUUCUUUUUUUCACACGGCAUGGGCUUUUUCAUUAAAAAAUAAAGGCGGCAAAGCAUGGCUUUAAAGAAUAUUCUCCAGGACUUGAGUUAUUUUACCUGUGUGGCAGGAGCAGACAGGCUUUCUUCCAGCCCUCAGAAGGAAACAAAGAACAGCCUCACACCUGUGUCCCACGCCAAAAUAUUACUGUCUAGAUUGCAACAAAGCAAAGUAAAGAACGCAAAUGAAGGGCGGAAAAAAGAAUAUGAAUAUGAAUAUGUUUGGACCUUUAGAGCUCCCUUCCAACUCUAAGGAUUCUAUGAAAAUUCAGUGAUUACUUCAAUUAUUCUCCUGGGGAAAAAAAGUGAAGAUGCAGAUCAAGGGAACCGUUUCCCCAUCAUUAUCAGAUGACACAGGCUGCAGGGUUUUCACUGACUUUUCUCACGAAUGACACCGACAUGAAGAAAGCAGUGCCAUAAACCACUCCGUGCUCUCCUCCAAGUCGUGCUGCAGCAGGAGUGCCAAUAAAAGGACGCACUGCUGCUGGGCUGCAUGCAGAAGCAUCCCCUGGCAGUGGUGCCGAGGCACUGGCUGCCUGCAGGCACAGCCCCAAGCCAUGGAUGUGGCAUCUGCCGCAUGUGAAACAAUUCUGAAGUUCGGAUUUGGAAAAGGAAAGAAAAUUCAUGUGUUUUAAAGAACUCCCCUCUAAAUUAAGUCUCAUUUUAGGAAAUGUGUGGGUUUGGGUUUCUGAUUGUUAAACAAACAAUUCUGUUUGGAGCAGCAUGUCAGAGGGCUCCUUUAGGAAAGCAGCCUGGAAUAAAGUGGGAAAGCUGCAGGGAGCACUCAUCUAUACGAAGCAAGUGACCUGGAGAUACAGGGUAUAAGACUGUGCUUACCUAGUGCAUGUGCAGAGGAGCUGAAACCUUUUAAUUCCCUGUUCAUAAUUAGUGGUGGGAAAAAGUAAAGACUUUCAGACAUUUAAUUAUCUAACUGUUCUUUCGGAUUAGGCAGGCAGGAGGCACGGUGAUGUCCUUAGUUCUCCAACCGAUGAGAUCUGCAAAUCCACUCUCACAUCUGAUUAUGGGUUCAAAUCUGUGGGUACAAAAUUAAAGGCUAAAUUCCAACCAAUUUUUAAAAGCUGCCUUUCAAGUGGUGAAAUGAGAGCCGCCACCCAUUCCCCAGCUGCCUGUGAUUUAUCUGGGCUGUAAGCUUGCCCAGCAUCAUUGGCAGGUAGAGAGGCCCUCCAGCCUGGUAGUCAGGAGUAGAGAGAGUUAAGGGUACUUUUCCAUGUAAAACGUGUUUGGGAAAGGAAUGCCUUGAAUUUUGAUGAUAUUGGCCUGGGUCUCAGCUACACGGUGGUAAGGCAAAGCAGUGCUACUGCAUUCCACUCGCAAUGCUGAGGAGCAAGUACGAGCCACAAGUGAGCAGUAAAGGCAAGCGAUUAAACAGCAGGGCUGCAUUCCUCACCCCUCCAGCAGCAAAACGGAGGGUGAUGCAGCAAAUAGAGGGGAGUUGCAACAGUCCUAGGCAGAAGUUGAAGCAUUUAAAAAUCUCUGAUUCUUCUUUGGCAGAGCUACACCAAAGCUGUUUCCAUCACACUGGGUGACCUCUGCAGGACCAGCGCUGUAGCAGAUAUUUUCGGUGGUGUUCUCCUAUCCACCAUGUUUUCCAAAGCUGGACCAUGACAAUACCUAACAAAUCACUCAACUUUUGAGCCACACAUCCUGCUCCUAAUUUUGAGCUCUGCGCAAUUAGGAGCAGAAAGUCACAUGGCUUUUGCACAGCGUUCUGGGGAAGCUGGGCAGAGUGGAGAGCUGGCACAGGAGACACAGCUUUGGGCAGAAAGCUGCAAGGAGCCGCGCUCAGUGGUUUGCAGAGCUCAGACUUUCCAUUCACAGAUCCAGGCAUGAACACAAGUCUCAGAUCCUCUCUUGCCAUGCACAGAGCCACAUGUUUGUUAUUCUAGAGAGGGGAAAAUAACAAAAGAGGUACUGGGAUAACGAAAGUACCUCCAACUCAGCAGCAGACAGUUUUAUCCAUAUAGAUGAAGCUGGAGGAAGGUAGAAGCUCUCUAAUCAACCCCCAGACUGCAGUUCAAGUUUUAAAAUGCGGGGAAGACCCAGAGGGACGUCUGUCCCAGCUCCACAUAAUUUCCUCAUGAGUCUCAGCAGCUCUGCUGCUCCGCUCCUAUUCCUCCCUGCUGGCACUCACCCCAGACAAAUGCCGUCAGCUCACCUGCCCCCUUCACCCCUGGCACGUCGGGAAGACAACGCCAGAAAGCAAAACAGAUAGGAUUAUUCAUGAUGCCAAGAGGAGAGAGACGUCUCUCAUUUCUCUUCCAGCAUCCAUCCACUCCAUUCCAGAUGACAUCUCCACUGGCAAUCUUCUGAUGAAGGCCUUGCUGUGGUGGCUGUACGCAGUGCUGCAGCAAGUCCUGCUACAUCCCCUGCAGGCUGGCCCCAUUUCAUGUGAACCUGGCUCCUGCCUUGCUCACUGCUCCAAGGAGAAGAUCAUGGAAUCAUAAAGGUUGGAAAAGACCGCUAAGAUCAUCAAGACCAACCCUAGGCACAUAAAGAUGAGCACAUGGCAGCCGUGUCAGGCUCUGUUUGUUGGAAAGUCUACUCUGUUUGGUAAGAUCCACUCCUUUCCUGAGGACUGGCAGCUGUUUGAGACGCUUCUGAGAAUCCUCAGGUAGCAUUUGGCUGUGCAAAUUGGAGACAGAACAGCAAAAACAGACGCACCACAGCCGGCACAGACAUGAUUGGGGAGCAAAGAAGGGCUGGUCCACUCACUGUCCUCAUGGAGAGAUUUUCCUGUUUGUCCUAUAAAGUGCUCUUCAACCCUC